UCAGAUGUCAGGUGUCCAUCCAUUUGCUUUGAUCCUGCUUUCUUCAGACCCUGAUGGCUCCUGUGUCAACUUGGAUGCAAGUGACAGCAACUAUGGGCACAGUGAUGAGGAAUGGAAAACUACUGAAAGGAGUGUCUAUGUGUCAGGUCAGGAUGAGGGGGAGAUGUUCUUGCCUGGCCUUCACCCACAUCACAACACGGCAGCCUUCAGGAUGAGCUUAUCAGGAGACAGCUUGAGAAAACUCGCUUGGCCCUGCCAGACACCGAGAUGAGUUGCUGUCAGACUGCUAAGAGCCUGUUGUGAGGUGGAUUGACCUGUAUGUGAUUUAUCAGUAUAUAAAGCAGCCUGUUUUUUACUCUUGU
rnacentral:lncRNA from 1 species